CUGCAAAAGGGGCGCGGAGGGUCCCUGCCCCCGGGGCCGCCGGCCGAGGUGAGCGCACCUUGAUCGUCGCACCCCACGAGGGGUGGCUUCUCACCGCGGUGGCCUCGUCCCCCUGGGGACCUGGUCACCCUCGGAGGCAUUUUUGAAUGUCCCAGCUGGAGCCGGGAGGUGGGGUUACCUGCACCCAGUGGACUCCAGCCCGUUGCACAAGACAGCUCCGAAGCAAGCCCUGACAAGGACUUUGCCAUCCCCAGGUGUCCCCGGUUUGGUGCAGAGGUGGGGAAGCCCUGCCAAGUGGCCUGGCUGCCCAGCGUCGCCAGCCAGCAGCGAGGGCAUUCCCCGGGAAGUGCAGAGGCUGCUGCCCCGGCCCACACCUGCCCCAGCCAUUGGAACCCAGGCGCCUGCAAGUGUGAGCAGAGCCACUCUGCGGAUCUGAGGCCCAGCAGAUCCUGGAUGGUGUGCCCUGGUCAGUGCAGGCCGUGGUGGACAGUUCGCUAGCCUGGAGGAGGCCAGGGACAGUUCAAAGACAACACCCGGUAGAUAACCGCAGACAGGAACUCGACCCCCAACCUCAGCAGAACCAACACAGUGAGGCACGCUCAGUGUCCCACGCUCACACAUCCACACCAGGCCUGCAGAUGACUCAACAUCCCACACACGGCCCUUCCACCGCUGACCUCUCCUCUCCGGGUGCAUAGCUGAUGGCUGAUCUCAGAACACGGCUAGACACGGAGCGGCUGUAUUCCGUGGUGUUCCAGGAAAUCUGUGGUCGCUACGAGAAGGACUACAGCUGGGACGUCAAGUCGCUGGUCAUGGGCAAGACGGCCCUGGAAGCGGCUCAGAUCAUCAUCGACGUCCUGCAGCUGCCCAUGUCCAAGGAGGAGCUGGUGGAGGAGAGCCAGGCCAAGCUCCAGGGGCUGUUCCCCACCGCCCAGCUCAUGCCAGUGCCUGGUCUUCGAAGACGCUCCCAACGGGGUGGAGGCGGCCCUGGCGGCCGGGAUGCAGGUGGUGAUGGUCCCCGAUGAGCGCCUGAGCCGCGACCUGACGAGCAAGGCCACCCUGGUGCUGCGCUCCCUGCAGGACCUGCAGCCCGAGCUCUUCGGCUUGCCCGCCUACGACUGAGGGCCACCGCGCUCCGGCCGCUGCAGCGGGCCUCCUGGGCCCCGCCCACGAUCGGGGUCCACCUGCGGAGGGGAGGGGCGGAGGGAGACGGCAGCCCAGGUGCAGCCAUGUCAGCCCUGAGCUGGCGUGGCCCAGUUUUGCUCCAGGUUGAUGGCCGUCCACUGGACACUUGAGAGAGGACAGAGACCGUGCAGAGCAAGGUCCAGCGUACAGCACAUGCUGCGGGCACACAUGUUCCGUGUGGUCUGCGUGCCUGCUCCCUGCUCGCCAGGCACAGGACACGACACGCGGCCAUUCCCUUAUUCUAGUUCUCAACAUGGGCAGCUGCACCGUGUCGCCCCGUGUGCUGCGUGUAUGCACUGCUGUGUGUGCAGGCGUGUCGCACGCCCUCCGCUGCACACCCUGGGCCCCCACCGACUCCUCUGCUCCGCAGCCUG
ensembl:lincRNA